CACUUCUCUUCCUCCCUCGCGCCCCCAUCUCCUCUCCCUCGAUGAAAUCGCCCGACCUACCGCCUUGGCCAUCGCCGUCGUCGCGGCCACUGGCCUCCCCGCGGCCGGAGCUCAUGUUUAGGAGGACCUCCGGUAUCGUCUCCUUCGCCACGUGCACCGGUUCCAGCUAGGACCGCUCCAAGCCUCGCCAUCAAGCUCUUCUCCGCCGCAGACGUCACCAUCUCGCCGUCGAUUCGCCUAGCUCCGUCCAGUCUCCGGCCUCCCGAGCUCACCGACGACACCAUAGCUGAAGCUCUACUAGCAACGGAUGUUUACGACGAUGCAGGAGAUGCCGUCUUUGCUUCUCCUGUUCAUCGGCUGGUCCGUGAAAUGCUUCGCAGCUGCCUGUGUGUCCCUGAUGUCAUUGAUCUUUGUCAGAUAAAUAUGUCUAUCUAAUUGUAAAGAUUGAUAGUCCACCUUACUAUCUAGUAGAUAUUUUCAGUCCUUUUCAAAGGAA